rnacentral:tRNA from 1 species
UGGGGGCUCGUCUAACGGCAGGACAGCAGGCUCUGAAUCUGCUUAUGGAGGUUCGAAUCCUUCGCCCCCAGCCA